rnacentral:rRNA from 1 species
AUUGAACGCUGGCGGCAGGCCUAACACAUGCAAGUCGAGCGGAUGAAGGGAGCUUGCUCCUGGAUUCAGCGGCGGACGGGUGAGUAAUGCCUAGGAAUCUGCCUGGUAGUGGGGGAUAACGUCCGGAAACGGGCGCUAAUACCGCAUACGUCCUGAGGGAGAAAGUGGGGGAUCUUCGGACCUCACGCUAUCAGAUGAGCCUAGGUCGGAUUAGCUAGUUGGUGGGGUAAAGGCCUACCAAGGCGACGAUCCGUAACUGGUCUGAGAGGAUGAUCAGUCACACUGGAACUGAGACACGGUCCAGACUCCUACGGGAGGCACCAGUGGGGAAUAUUGGACAAUGGGCGAAAGCCUGAUCCAGCCAUGCCGCGUGUGUGAAGAAGGUCUUCGGAUUGUAAAGCACUUUAAGUUGGGAGGAAGGGCAGUAAGUUAAUACCUCGCUGUUUUGACGUUACCAACAGAAUAAGCACCGGCUAACUUCGUG